rnacentral:rRNA from 1 species
GAUGAACGCUGGCGGCGUGCCUAAUAGAUGCAAGUCGAGCGAACAGACGAGGAGCUUGCUCCUCUGACGUUAGCGGCGGACGGGUGAGUAACACGUGGAUAACCUACCUAUAAGACUGGGAUAACUUCGGGAAACCGGAGCUAAUACCGGAUAAUAUAUUGAACCGCAUGGUUCAAUAGUGAAAGACGGUUUUGCUGUCACUUAUAGAUGGAUCCGCGCCGCAUUAGCUAGUUGGUAAGGUAACGGCUUACCAAGGCAACGAUGCGUAGCCGACCUGAGAGGGUGAUCGGCCACACUGGAACUGAGACACGGUCCAGACGCCUACGGGAGGCAGCAGUAGGGAAUCUUCCGCAAUGGGCGAAAGCCUGACGGAGCAACGCCGCGUGAGUGAUGAAGGUCUUCGGAUCGUAAAACUCUUUUAUUAGGGAAGAACAAAUGUGUAAGUAACUAGGCACGUCUUGACGGUACCUAAUCAGAAAGCCACGGCUAACUACGUG